rnacentral:lncRNA from 1 species
CAAGUAAAUUCGAGUAUAAUGAUACUCCUGAAUACCAUGCAGCCAUGGAAAGUGAUAAAUGAAGUAGCCACACAUAUUUGACCAUGAAAUUUACACCUCAUAUACUCAGUAAAAAGCACACAGGUGAUAGACAGUGUGCUUUAUUAAUCCAUUUUAUUAAAAAACAGUGCAAUAAUGAUACUAAUGCCUUAUUUGAGUUUUAAGUAUCAAGACCUUUGAAGACAUUAGUGUAGAGCUUUUCAGUCCUGGCUGCAUCACAAUCGCCUAGAGAACACAUUAAAAACAAUAAACCAAACCAGCCAGAGAAGCCUAAUUAAGUUGGCCUCUCUGUGAAGGUGGGGCGCACGCAUCAGAAUUUUUCAAAGAUCUUGGGUGAUUCUAACGCACAGUGAAAACUGAAAAUCAUAGCAUUUUCUCUUUUAUCCUGAGGCCAAAACUAUAAGUAUUAUUUGUAUCAUCUUCCUAGCAUAGUUGGGGAAAUCUUAGGAAGGUUAAAUAACUUGUUUCCUGUAACAUAGAAGAGCUCAGACUCUACUCAGGGCUGUCUAACUUUAAAAACUAUGAUCUUGGGGCCAGCCUGGUAGCAUAGUAAAGUUUGCCCGCUCUGUGCAGCAAACCCUGGGUUCGCAGGUUCGGAUCCCAGACAUGGAACUAUGUACCACUUAUUAAGCGAUUCUAUAGAAAACGUCCAUAUAUAAAAUAGAGAGAGAUGGGCACAGACGUUAGUUCAGGGCCAAUCUUCCUCAGUAAAAAGAGCAGGACUGGCGGCAGAUGUUAGCUCAGGGCUAAUCUUCCCAAAAAAUAAAAAAAAAAACAAAGUAUGAUCUUGACAUUGAUAUCAAGUUGUGUUUUAGUGAGCAAGAGUGAAUAUGUGUGGAAUAUGGGUGCAAAUACACCAGCCCAGAAGACUCACAAAAGUAGUCUUGUAUCUCUGGGUGGUGAGAUUACAAAUAAUUUAAAUUUUCUUUCUUACAAAUUUAAAUGUUACUUUUAAUACCCAGUAUGCCUUUGUAUUAUAAACAUAUGUACAGGUGUAUGUACGCAUUUGUUUGUGUAUACAUGAUAUACGUGUGUGCAUGCACACACACAUUCAUGUCAUAUCAUGAUUACUGCUCUGUCACUGUCAUUUCACUGCUCUUCAAAACCUCUGCUGUGUCUGUUGCUAGCACAUCCAUAGAACUGCUGGCUGGAAUAUCACCUCAUCUUCUCUGGGGAGAAUCAUGUUGCUUCUGAAUAUCAAAUUGCCCCCAUCCCCAGUUUCUCUCAAAUCUCUAGCUCUGAGUUCAAAGGUAACAUUUUAAUAUAUUGGAAACAGCCAUCGAAAAACACAAGCAGCAAAGAAGACUGAGGCUUACCAAUGAACUAAGGUUGCCAACAAAAAAACAAUCACACGUGGAUACCCAUGUAUCCAUUUGAAAAGCUAACAAUAUGGUCAAAUAAGUUAUUUUGGCAUCAUUUAAUACAACUGAAUUUUGUUUCACUGAGCUUUUAAAAACUUGGUUCAGCAAAAUUGUUUUAUGUUAACAUACUUUCAGACAAAUUUUUUUACCCUCUGAUUUCAUCCUGGUUUGCUAACAAAAUACAGAAUGUGCUUUCUCAAGAAGAAUGCUUAAUUAAAACAGGAAUGCACAUUUUCAAUUUUCUGACAACACAAUUUUCAGAAUCCUUGCUCUGACUGAUUAUCAACAGCACCAGAUAUAUUUUCCUUAAAAAUUUUUCCAUGCAUAUUAUUCAGGAAGCCUAUUGCUUAUAAACACAGACCGUGGACUUACAAGGCCCAAUGCCUUCCCUCAGCAGGAAGUGCUGCCCUGGAUGACCCCUCCUGGCAGCCUGCCCUGCUCCCACUGCACCAGGCUCCAGACCUCCUCCCUGCUUCAGCAGAGCAGCCCCAUCUUCUGUAUAACACUCCUUUUGAAGAAAAGUUCUGUGGGUUAAAAUAUUUGAAAACCACUCAUCUGAACCAACUCCUUCAUUUGUUGGAUGAGGGAACAGUGGUGCUUCAGUAGUGGAAAAGCUCACAGGCUAUAGCUUCCUGCAAGAUGAAGAACACCAAGGCUCAGCCAAUGAUGUUGGGCUGAGUCCUUUUCAUGCUGCCAUCUCUCAGUUCUCUCUUCCAUACUCAUAUCUCCCUCUGACCACAGCCAGGGAAAGUUUUCCAUUUUUAAAGACUGAUGUGAUUAGAGUGGGUUUCCCUAGGUAAUCCAGAACAAUCUUCCCAGCUCAAGGUCCUUAAUCUAAUCACAUCUGCACAAUCCCUUUUGCCAUGUAAGGUAACAUUCACAGGUGCUAGGAAUUAGGAUGUUGACAUCUUUGGGGAGCCAUUAUUCUGCUUAUUACAGUAAGUAUCAACACUUUUUUCUGUCUUGGCACAACUGACAGUCACAACAUACUCAUUAAUGCCAACUUGUCAAGGCAAUGAUUUCCAAGCAUAGAAA